rnacentral:lncRNA from 1 species
AGUUAUUUGUUGGUCUAUUUAAAUUUUUUGUAAUGACUUUGUUUCUCAUUUAAGAAAAGCUUCCAAUUUCUCUAUAGAUCGUCCUGUUGGUGCUGGACUUGAUUGGAACUUGGUUGCUACUGCAAGACGUGUAGGCACAGGGCUUGUUGCGGUCAUCUAAACAUGGUACUCCCUCCGACCCAUAUUAUUUGUCGCAGAUUUAGUAUAUGUUAUUUAUUUAACCAGUAUGGAUGACAUGGUAACGACAGGGUCGAUGGGACAUAAUGUUAUGGCCUUUUGAGGCUUGCAAUUCCAUUUUGUUUACUGAAUAUUUAUUUUGUUGCACGAUACUCGAUAAUAAUAUAGGGGCUGUGUGACUCAUCCGCGCAGAGGCUAGGGUAUCUCCUCCUUUAAGAAAAGAAAAAAAAAUGUGCCGGAAGAGUUAUGCUAUACCGAUUUUCUAUGGACAAGGAAAGAAAGAAUGUGAGGGUGCCAUCUGCAUAGCGAUUUUCCGGUGAGCCUCAAAGUUUUAGAUAAAUAUGAAAAAUAUCCAUGC